rnacentral:rRNA from 1 species
UAAGAGAUGAGGUGUAAAGGUGUUUCGUGUUCGACACUGGUGUUGCCGAAUUACCAUUGAGUGGGUAAUCACAGAAGGUGAAAAUCCUGUGCGGUGACGCUCUAAGUGUUGAACCGGGAUACUAGAGAGUCUAGUUGUUUGAGAGUACAACUUAAAGCUGGUGGUAAAUUUCAUCAAAGGCUAAAUAUACUAAGGGACUAAUAGCGAACAAGUACCAUGAGGGAAAGUUGAAAAGAACUCUGACGAGAGAGUUCAACAGUACGUGAAACCAUAAUGAGUAAAACAGAUAACUGUGUUGUUAUGUGGUGUGUCCUUCAACAGUGCAUUGGGUGUUGUGAAAUUGCGAGUGUAUACUGUUUUUUCAGUGGUCCGCUCGUGGUUAGCAUAGCCUAAGAUCCUGUGGACUUGUACACACUCGAUCAUUGAGAAACUAUGCUGCUGCGGCAUUGGUGUACUUCAGCCCGUACCUAGUGCGAAGUUGUACGCUAGGCUCAGCUGGCGGCGUAGUUUGGCUGUGUGACAGCUGUGGGAUACGUUUGCUGAAUGUGUCUGCUUUGUCUGCGGAUCGGUUUAUUCCUUUCUGCGGUGAGUAUGGCGCAGUAGGCAAGUGUUCCGACAUCAAUGGUUAACAUUAGUUAUUUGACCCGUCUUGAAACACGGACCAAGGAGUUCAAAUGGCACGCGAGUCAUCGGGUUUUGACACCCGUAGGCGAAGUGAAAUGCAAACGUAUCGUUAUUUGUGGUUCAGCCAUGAUUAAGCGAUAAGCUACCUAUGCUUC